CAGCCUUAACCCAUGCAGUCGAGGGGUAGAGUGCUUCGGCACUUGAGACCGGCGCACGGGUGCGUACACGUGUACAAUUCUACCUUUGGUAAGGGAUAGCCCGAAGAAAUUUGGAUUAAUACCUUAUAGUUAUUGUUUGGUGGCCAUCACUGAAUAAUUAAAGCUUCUGGUGGCCAAAAGAUGAGUACGCGUCCCAUUAGCUAGUUGGUGUGGUACCGGCCAUACCAAGGCUACGAUGGGUAGGGGUCCUGAGAGGGAGUUCCCCCACACUGGUACUGAGACACGGACCAGACUCCUACGGGAGGCAGCAGUGAGGAAUAUUGGCCAAUGUUCGGAAGACUGAUCCAGCCAUGCCGCGUGCAGGAUGACGCCUUUAUGGGUUGUAAACUGCUUUUAUCCAGGAAGAAUAAGUUCUACGAGUAGAUUGAUGACGGUACUGUAUGAAUAAGCUUCGGCUAACUCCGUGCCAGCAGCCGCGGUAAUACGGAGGAUGCGAGCGUUUUCCGGAAUCAUUGGGUUUAAAGGGUCCGUAGGCGGGCUUAUAAGUCAGAGGUGAAAGCACUGAGCUCAACUGAGUAACUGCCUUUGAAACUGUAGGUCUUGAAUGUUUGUGAAGUAGCUGGAAUGUGUAGUGUAGCGGUGAAAUGCAUAGAUAUUACACAGAACACCGAUUGCGAAGGCAUGUUACUAACAAAUUAUUGACGCUGAUGGACGAAAGCGUGGGGAGCGAACAGGAUUAGAUACCCUGGUAGUCCACGCUGUAAACGAUGGAUACUAGCUGUUUGGUAGUAAUUUUGAGUGGCCUAAGCGAAAGUGAUAAGUAUCCCACCUGGGGAGUACGCACGCAAGUGUGAAACUCAAAGGAAUUGACGGGGGCCCGCACAAGCGGUGGAGCAUGUGGUUUAAUUCGAUGAUAACGCGAGGAACCUUACCAAGGUUUAAAUGGGAAACGACGUAUCUAGAGAUA
rnacentral:rRNA from 1 species